UACAGAGGUCCCAAGCGUUGUUCGGAUUCACUGGGCGUAAAGGGUGCGCAGGUGGUCGGGUAAGUCUGACGUGAAAUCCCGCAGCUUAACUGCGGAAUGGCAUUGGAUACUAUUCGGCUAGAGGGUUGGAGGGGGGACUGGAAUUCUCGGUGUAGCAGUGAAAUGCGUAGAUAUCGAGAGGAACACCAGUGGCGAAGGCGAGUCCCUGGACAACUCCUGACGCUGAGGCACGAAAGCUAGGGGAGCGAACGGG
rnacentral:rRNA from 1 species